rnacentral:rRNA from 1 species
AUACGUAGGGGGCGAGCGUUGUCCGGAAUGAUUGGGCGUAAAGGGCGUGUAGGCGGCCUGUUAAGUCUGAAGUGAAAGUCCUGUUUUCAAGAUGGGAAUUGCUUUGGAUACUGGCGGGCGUUAGUGUGGGAGAGGGUAUCGGUAUUCUCCGUGUAGCGGGGGAAAGCGUAGAGAUCGGGAGGAACACCAGUGGCGAAGGCGGGUAACUGGACUGCAACUGACGCUGAGGCGCGAAAGUGUGGGGAGCAAACAGGAUUAGAUACCCUGGUAGUCCACACUGUAAACGAUGAAUGCUAGGUGUAGGGGGUAUCGACCCCUUCUGUGCCGCAGUAAACACAAUAAGCAUUCCGCCUGGGGAGUACGGCCGCAAGGUUGAAACUCAAAUGAAUUGACGGGG